UAGGGAAUCUUCGGCAAUGGACGAAAGUCUGAUCGAGCAACGCCGCGUGAGGGAAGAAGGUUUUCGGAUCGUAAAACUCUGUUGUUAGAGAAGAACAAGGACGUUAGUAACUGAACGUCGCCUGACGGUAUCUAACCAGAAAGCCACGGCUAACUACGUGCCAGCAGCCGCGGUUAUACGUAGGUGGCAAGCGUUGUCCGGAUUUAUUGGGCGUAAAGCGAGCGCAGGCGGUUUCUUAAGUCUGAUGUGAAAGCCCCCGGCUCAACCGGAGAGGGUCAUUGGAAACUGGAAGACUGGAGUGCAGAAGAGGAGAGUGGAAUUCCAGGUGUAGCGGUGAAAUGCGUAGAUAUAUGGAGGAACACCAGUGGCGAAGGCGGCUCUCUGGUCUGUAACUGACGCUGAGGCUCGAAAGCGUGGGGAGCAAACAGG
rnacentral:rRNA from 1 species